rnacentral:rRNA from 1 species
GCGCAGCAGGCGAGAAUAUUGGGCAAUGGGCGAAAGCCUGACCCAGCGACGCCGCGUGCCGGAAGAAGCCCUUCGGGGUGUAAACGGCUUUUCUGGGGGAGGAAUCUCUGAGGCAAAACCUCAGAGUGACAGUACCCCAGGAAUAAGGGACGACUAACUUCGUGCCAGCAGUCGCGGUAAGACGAAGGUCCCCAGCGUUACCCGGAUUUACUGGGCGUAAAGGACGAGAAGGCGGGAACGUAAGUUUACCCUAAAAGUCACCGAGCUCAACUCGGUGAAUGGGGUAAAUACUGCGUUCCUAGAGUCUGCCAGGGGCCAGCGGAACGGUCGGUGUAGGGGUGAAAUCCGAUGAUAUCGACCGGAACGCCGAAGGCGAAGGCAGCUGGCUAGGGCAGUACUGACGCUGAUCUCGUGAAAGCCAGGGGCGCGAACCGG